ensembl:lncRNA
GAUAAAACUAAGAAGUGAUACAGAUAGAUAAAAGUCUGACUUGCCUACUAACCUUUGUUUUAUCUAUACUUAUACAUAAACAAUUGUUAUUGGUUUUAGGGAUAUUCUUCCACUGCUGUCUUUUUCUUCUUUUUUCUCAGGUUUGUUUGCUUGUUUUGAGACAUGGUCUCCUUAUGCAGUUCAGGCUGUCUUUGAACUCAUUGUAUAGCCCAGGCUGGCCUCAGACUUGCAGCAGUCUUCCUGCCUCAGCCUCCCAAGUGCUGGGAUUACAGAAAAUGGCCUGCAUUUAAAGACUGGCCCUCAGACCUUCCAUUAGGAUGUGAUUCCCUCAUGAACAUUUUUAGCUGUCAGUGGGAUUUGGGGA